GAUGAACGCUGGCGGCGUGCCUAAUACAUGCAAGUCGAGCGAACAGACGAGGAGCUUGCUCCUCUGACGUUAGCGGCGGACGGGUGAGUAACACGUGGUUACCUACCUUUAAAGAUGGGGUAAAUUUGGGAAACCGGAGGUUAUACCCGGUAAAUAUUUUGACCGCAAGGGUUAAUAGGUAAAGGACGGUUUUGUGGCCCUUUUUAAUUGAUCCCGCGCCGCAUUAGCUAGUUGGUAAGGUAACGGCUUACCAAGGCGACGAUGCGUAGCCGACCUGAGAGGGUGAUCGGCCACACUGGAACUGAGACACGGUCCAGACUCCUACGGGAGGCAGCAGUAGGGAAUCUUCCGCAAUGGGCGAAAGCCUGACGGAGCAACGCCGCGUGAGUGAUGAAGGUCUUCGGAUCGUAAAACUCUGUUAUUAGGGAAGAACAAAUGUGUAAGUAACUAUGCACGUCUUGACGGUACCUAAUCAGAAAGCCACGGCUAACUACGUG
rnacentral:rRNA from 1 species